rnacentral:rRNA from 1 species
GACGAACGCUGGCGGCGUGCCUAAUACAUGCAAGUCGAACGCUUCUUUCCUCCCGAGUGCUUGCACUCAAUUGGAAAGAGGAGUGGCGGACGGGUGAGUAACACGUGGGUAACCUACCCAUCAGAGGGGGAUGACACUUGGAAACAGGUGCUAAUACCGCAUAACAGUUUAUGCCGCAUUGCAUAAGAGUGAAAGGCGCUUUCGGGUGUCGCUGAUGGAUGGACCCGCGGUGCAUUAGCUAGUUGGUGAGGUAACGGCUCACCAAGGCCACGAUGCAUAGCCGACCUGAGAGGGUGAUAGGCAACACUGGGACUGAGACACGGCCCAGAAUCCUACGGGAGGCAGCAGUAGGGAAUCUUCGGCAAUGGACGAAAGUCUGACCGAGCAACGCCGCGUGAGUGAAGAAGGUUUUCGGAUCGUAAAACUCUGUUGUUAGAGAAGAACAAGGACGUUAGUAACUGAACGUCCCCUGACGGUAUCUAACCAGAAAGCCACGGCUAACUACGUG